ACCACCAAAAUUACGGCCAUGUUGCUGUCUUAGUAGCAAUAACUGAAGCUCAUUCUCCAUACUAUUCUUCCCCUCUAAAUUCCCAUUUGAAUUUGGUCCUACCAUCUUGUUUUCACAUUAAACUGUAGGAUAAUAUUAUCUUCCCCACUCCUUGUCACUAACCCUAUUCGCCCACAACGAAAAAUCAUAAAAAAUUAAAUAAAAUUAUGAACAGAAUUAUAUCAACGGUAGUACAGAAUUGCAUUCCAAUAAAUAAAUUUACCACAGCAAAUUGAAAAAACAAAAGAGCUCCUUUUACUAUGAAUCUACAUAAAAGAGCGACAAUUUUUACAAUGUAUUCGCACCCAAAUGGAUUUCAAAGAAAAAGAAAUCAAUAGCAGUCUCUACCAACAUUAUAAUCACAUUAUAUAAUGGCAUUAAACACAAUGCUGACACGUAAAGAGAUCGCAUAUGCUUAAUCUUGAAAAAUCAGAUGUAAUUCAAGAAAACCGUAGAUUAUUUGAAAUUAUAAAGAUUAUUGUUUUAAUUAUUUGGGGCUGAGACAAAAAUUACUCACCGGAGAGGGAAGGAGGAAAGGAAGCAAGUGAUGUGAUGCGUUUUGAGCUAG
rnacentral:lncRNA from 1 species